GGAGUUUGAUCCUGGCUCAGGACGAACGCUGGCGGCGUGCCUAAUACAUGCAAGUCGAGCGAAUCUUUGGGAGCUUGCUCCUAAAGAUUAGCCGCGGACGGGUGAGUAACACGUGGGCAACCUACCUUACAGAUGGGGAUAACUCCGGGAGACCGGGGCUAAUACCGAAUAAUCCAUUUCUUCGCAUGAAGAGAUGUAGAAAGACGGUCUCGGCUGUCACUGUGAGAUGGGCCCGCGGCGCAUUAGUUAGUUGGUGGGGUAACGGCCCACCAAGACCACGAUGCGUAGCCGACCUGAGAGGGUGAUCGGCCACACUAGGACUGAGACACGGCCCAGACUCCUACGGGAGGCAGCAGUAGGGAAUCUUCCACAAUGGAAGAAAGUCUGAUGGAGCAACGCCGCGUGAGUGAAGAAGGUUUUCGGAUCGUAAAGCUCUGUAGUAAGGGGAGAACACGUACAGGAGUAACUGCCUGUACCUUGACGGUACCUUACCAGAAAGCCACGGCUAACUACGUGCCAGCAGCCGCGGUAAUACGUAGGUGGCAAGCGUUGUCCGGAAUUACUGCGCGUAAAGCGCGCGCAGGCGGUCCUUUAAGUCUGAUGUGAAAGCCCACGGCUCAACCCUGGAGGGUCAUUGGAAACUGGAGGACUUGAGUACAGAAGAGGAAAGCGGAAUUCCACGUGCAGCGGUGAAAUGCGUAGAGAUGUGGAGGAACACCAGUGGCGAAGGCGGCUUUCUGGUCUGUAACUGACGCUGAGGCGCGAAAGCGUGGGGAGCAA
rnacentral:rRNA from 1 species